GAGGAAACCCCCAGCUUUCCCCCCUCCCUGAUCACCCUGCUCCUCGCUCAUCUCUGUUCCGCGUCCCGAGUUUGCGCACCCGCUCCGAGGGGACGUGACAUCCCUUAUUUUGGCCCGAAGGGGUCCCGGAGGACCGCGAGCGUUACCGGGGAUGCCGUUCCCCACGGGUGUGGGAGCAGCCCCGCUGCUGGCGCGGAGCCCCCCGGGAUGCUCUGUCUUCUCGGGCAGAGAAGGGCCCGGCUAUUUUGCCGUGUCACUCUCUGGCACGGCGUGCUGCAGAGGCUGGAACACGUCGGGGGGCUCGGGCACGCUCACGAGAGCGAGUGAUGGGAGACCCUCGCGGAGCCUAGUCCCCAGAGGAUUAUCCGAUUUUGGAAGGUGAAGUUCCUGAAGGCACGGAAUUUCAGACGUGGGCUACGGGGUCGGAGGGACGGUCGGUGCGGCCGUGCGCCCCGUCCCUCAGCCCGGGGAACCGCACCCGCCCCGCCGCAGGCGAGGGCUGUCGGGAGGAGUGUGUAUUUAAUGCAGGUUUAAUGUAUGUAUGGCUGCAUACGGUUGAGGCUAGACACACCUGAACCGUGACACCAUGAUUAUUAUCACCUUUGCCCUCAAGGCUCCUGGGAGUGCCGCACUCCCUUGCAAGAACAUUGUGCCAGGGACCAGCCCAGCCUCGGGUCCUCCGCGGGGGCGGCGGGGGCUGCGUGGAACCCCCCGCCCGGGGACACCCUCCGCGCCGCCGUCCGUCGAAGCCUGCCCGGAGACUCAAUUUUUCCACUGCCCUCCCGCGUCCUCCCCGUUUGGGAAGCCUAGGGGAGGGAGGGAGGGGGCGGCGGGCCGGGCCCCUGCCUCCGGGCGCGCUGCCGCCGCGGCUCCCGUCUCAUGCCGCAGGAAUGCGCGGAGGUUCGACGGCUGCGGCUCCCGCCGCUGCGGGCACCACCGGAGCCAUCGCCGGAGGAGCUGUCCCGUUACGGACCCCGGCGCCCUGCGGCCACCCCGGAAGAUUCAUUCAUGUUGUUGUGAUCUGAAAGGGCAGAAAUGA
rnacentral:lncRNA from 1 species